rnacentral:rRNA from 1 species
CGGAGGGUGCAAGCGUUAAUCGGAAUUACUGGGCGUAAAGCGCACGCAGGCGGUCUGUCAAGUCGGAUGUGAAAUCCCCGGGCUCAACCUGGGAACUGCAUUCGAAACUGGCAGGCUAGAGUCUUGUAGAGGGGGGUAGAAUUCCAGGUGUAGCGGUGAAAUGCGUAGAGAUCUGGAGGAAUACCGGUGGCGAAGGCGGCCCCCUGGACAAAGACUGACGCUCAGGUGCGAAAGCGUGGGGGAGCAAACAGGAUU